rnacentral:rRNA from 1 species
AGUGAACGCUGGCGGUGGGCCUAACACAUGCAAGUCGAACGGCAGCACAGUAAGAGCUUGCUCUUACGGGUGGCGAGUGGCGGACGGGUGAGGAAUACAUCGGAAUCUACUUUUUCGUGGGGGAUAACGUAGGGAAACUUACGCUAAUACCGCAUACGACCUACGGGUGAAAGCAGGGGAUCUUCGGACCUUGCGCGAUUGAAUGAGCCGAUGUCGGAUUAGCUAGUUGGCGGGGUAAAGGCCCACCAAGGCGACGAUCCGUAGCUGGUCUGAGAGGAUGAUCAGCCACACUGGAACUGAGACACGGCCCAGACUCCUACGGGAGGCAGCAGUGGGGAAUAUUGGACAAUGGGCGCAAGCCUGAUCCAGCCAUACCGCGUGGGUGAAGAAGGCCUUCGGGUUGUAAAGCCCUUUUGUUGGGAAAGAAAAGCAGCAGGUUAAUACCCCGCUGUUCUGACGGUACCCAAAGAAUAAGCACCGGCUAACUUCGUG